rnacentral:rRNA from 1 species
AUGUUGCAGAGCAUUGCAUGCUUGUCUGAGUUAAGGACGCUUGGCAUUACAGAUAUAAGAGCAGGCCAGUCUGCAAGCUUGUGUAGUGCUAUCUCCAAGCUGUCUAAACUUCAACAUCUUUUGGUGUCCUCGGAAGGUGAUGAAGCGCUACAACUUUCGUCUGUUCAGCUGCCCCAAACAAUUCCGAAGCUCGAGGUUGGGGGUCUGCUGGGGCAGGCCACAACACGUAACCUCUUCACUUCAGUCAGAUGCCUCGGGAACAUCACUCAUCUCCAUCUAUGGUUCUCAAUGAUAAAUCAAGAUCUAUUUCGCUACCUCCAUUUGGGUUGUUUGUUGUCGCUCUGUAUUCUGCAGGCGUUUCAAGGUGAGGAGAUGUCGUUCUCUGCAGGGUCAUUUCCCAAACUUCAAUCGCAUGUGGUACAUGGUGCAUCGCAACUCAAGCGGAUUGAGAUAGAAGAGGGCUCUAUGGCGAACCUGGUCCGUCUUACGGUAACAGGUUGUCCAACACCGAAGGAGCUGCCUCAAGGUGUCGAGUUCCUCCACAAGCUCGAAGCGUUGCACCUCGAGAUCACAGUUGAUGAUUUUCUUUAG